rnacentral:rRNA from 1 species
GGGAAUUUUCCGCAAUGGGUGAAAGCCUGACGGAGCAACGCCGCGUGAGGGACGAAGGCCUCUGGGCUGUAAACCUCUUUUCUCAAGGAAGAAGAUAUGACGGUACUUGAGGAAUAAGCCACGGCUAAUUCCGUGCCAGCAGCCGCGGUAAUACGGGAGUGGCAAGCGUUAUCCGGAAUUAUUGGGCGUAAAGCGUCCGCAGGCGGCUUUUCAAGUCUGCUGUUAAAACGUGGAGCUUAACUCCAUCAUGGCAGUGGAAACUGAAAGGCUUGAGUAUGGUAGGGGCAGAGGGAAUUCCCGGUGUAGCGGUGAAAUGCGUAGAUAUCGGGAAGAACACCAGUGGCGAAGGCGCUCUGCUGGGCCAUUACUGACGCUCAUGGACGAAAGCCAGGGGAGCGAAAGGGAUUAGAUACCCCUGUAGUCA